rnacentral:rRNA from 1 species
AACAGCCGCGGUAAUUCCAGCUCCAAUAGCGUAUAUUAAAGUUGUUGCAGUUAAAAAGCUCGUAGUUGGAUUUCGGGGUUAGUAGGUUGGUCAUGCCUCUGGUAUGUACUGGUCUCACUGAUUCCUCCUUCCUGAUGAGCCGUAAUGCCAUUAAUUUGGUGUUGCGGGGAAUUUGGACUGUUACUUUGAAAAAAUUAGAGUGUUUAAAGCAAGCUAACGCUUGAAUACAUUAGCAUGGAAUAAUGAAAUAGGACGUUCGAUCCUAUUUUGUUGGUUUCUAGGAUUGACGUAAUGAUUAAUAGGGAUAGUUGGGGGCAUUAGUAUUCAAUUGUCAGAGGUGAAAUUCUUGGAUUUAUUGAAGACUAACUACUGCGAAAGCAUUUGCCAAGGAUGUUUUCAUUAAUCAAGAACGAAAGUUAGGGGAUCGAAGACGAUCAGAUACCGUCGUAGUCUUAACCAUAAACUAUGCCGACUAGGGAUCGGAUGAUGUUAAUUUUUUAAUGACUCA